AUGGGAACGCGAAGAACCUUACCUAGACUUGACAUCUCCUGAAUAGUGUAGAGAUACAUGAAGCCCUUCGGGGCAGGAAGACAGGUGGUGCAUGGUUGUCGUCAGCUCGUGUCGUGAGAUGUUGGGUUAAGUCCCGCAACGAGCGCAACCCUUAUUACUAGUUGCUAACAUUAAGUUGAGCACUCUAGUGAGACUGCCCGGGUUAACCGGGAGGAAGGUGGGGAUGACGUCAAAUCAUCAUGCCCCUUAUGUCUAGGGCUACACACGUGCUACAAUGGUGGGAACAAAGAGAUGCAAGACCGCGAGGUGGAGCUAAACUCAAAACCCCAUCCCAGUUCGGAUUGUAGGCUGAAACUCGCCUACAUGAAGCUGGAGUUGCUAGUAAUCGCGAAUCAGAAUGUCGCGGUGAAUACGUUCCCGGGUCUUGUACACACCG
rnacentral:rRNA from 1 species